UUGGGAAUAUUGGACAAUGGGGGAAACCCUGAUCCAGCAAUGCCGCGUGGGUGAUGAAGGCCUUCGGGUUGUAAAGCCCUUUUGGCGGGGACGAUGAUGACGGUACCCGCAGAAUAAGCCCCGGCUAACUUCGUGCCAGCAGCCGCGGUAAUACGAAGGGGGCUAGCGUUGUUCGGAAUUACUGGGCGUAAAGGGCGCGUAGGCGGCUGUGCAAGUCAGGUGUGAAAGCCCUGGGCUCAACCCAGGAUGUGCACUUGAUACUGCGCGGCUAGAGUGUCGGAGAGGAUGGUGGAAUUCCCAGUGUAGAGGUGAAAUUCGUAGAUAUUGGGAAGAACACCGGUGGCGAAGGCGACCAUCUGGACGACAACUGACGCUGAGGCGCGAAAGCGUGGGGAGCAAAC
rnacentral:rRNA from 1 species